UAGGGAAUCUUCCGCAAUGGGCGAAAGCCUGACGGAGCAACGCCGCGUGAGUGAUGAAGGUCUUCGGAUCGUAAAACUCUGUUAUUAGGGAAGAACAAAUGUGUAAGUAACUAUGCACGUCUUGACGGUACCUAAUCAGAAAGCCACGGCUAACUACGUGCCAGCAGCCGCGGUAAUACGUAGGUGGCAAGCGUUAUCCGGAAUUAUUGGGCGUAAAGCGCGCGUAGGCGGUUUUUUAAGUCGGAUGUGAAAGCCCACGGCUCAACCGUGGAGGGUCAUUGGAAACUGGAAAACUUGAGUGCAGAAGAGGAAAGUGGAAUUCCAUGUGUAGCGGUGAAAUGCGCAGAGCUAUGGAGGAACACCAGUGGCGAAGGCGACUUUCUGGUCUGUAACUGACGCUGAUGUGCGAAAGCGUGGGGAUCAAACAGG
rnacentral:rRNA from 1 species